CCGUCCAUCACUUCACGUUUGGACAUACCGGGGUACGGAGUCGCACCUAAGCAGAAUACAUGAUAGGCAUUAUAAAUUCCCUCUUUUACGAAGUUCAACGUUGAUAGAAUCAUAGACAACAAAACUUAUCGACAUCACAAACAUCAACGGAUCAGUAACGUCACAGUGACUAUCUCCCAGAGCAGCACUCCGAAAGCCCAGACGUCCGUCUUGGUGGUGUACUUCCGGUGGAACAGCGACUCAGGGGCCAUCCAGCGGAUAGGCAGGCGGAAAACUCAUCCCCUUGGCUACGUCCCGGGCGAACUUGGUGAGGUCACGUGAGGAGAGAGACUUGCUCCCGCCGUGCAGGUUCCCGUAUGGUUGGUGAGUGCGGCUGGUACGGAGGUUGGACAGGAGACUGCCUCCAGACACGAACUCCAGCAGG